UUGACCAUGACUUGCCCACUGUUUGACCUACAUGCAUGAUUCUUGUCUACUGAGUUAAUUAUGAUUUUGCCUGUUUGAUUUCAUCUCCACUAUUUUAUUUCUUUUAAGCUGAAUAAUUAUGAUUGAUAAAGUUAACCCUAUCUUGCUUAUAAUAAAACCAAUUAAGUCUAAAUGUAAAGAGAACACUUAAUAAAAAUUGCAUGCUGAAUUUCUGUUCAUGACUGUUAGGUAGUUGCCGAAACUUAUUUUUGAC
rnacentral:lncRNA from 1 species